UGUAAACCCAGAUUUAGUUGCUAUUAAACUUUUUAGUGUUCACUACUUAAAAACCACAUUCAUUAAAAAAUAACAUUAGUUGUUUGUAAUAAUCAGCUUAAGUAUGCCGUACACAGAUCUUUUUAAGCAGAGAUAACUAAGGAUGUAAAGUUUCUGUAUGGGAGGGGCGGGGUCAUCUGAACUGUUCUGGGCUGAAACAAUUCAAAU